AUUGAACGCUGGCGGCAGGCUUAACACAUGCAAGUCGAGCGGAGUGAUGGUGCUUGCACUAUCACUUAGCGGCGGACGGGUGAGUAAUGCUUAGGAAUCUGCCAUUUAGUGGGGGACAACAUUCCGAAAGGAAUGCUAAUACCGCAUACGUCCUACGGGAGAAAGCAGUGGAUCUUCGGACCUUGCGCUAAAUGAUGAGCCUAGGGCGGAUUAGCUAGUUGGUGGGGUAAAGGCCUACCAAGGCGACGAUCUGUAGCGGGUCUGAGAGGAUGAUCCGCCACACUGGGACUGAGACACGGCCCAGACUCCUACGGGAGGCAGCAGUGGGGAAUAUUGGACAAUGGGCGGAAGCCUGAUCCAGCCAUGCCGCGUGUGUGAAGAAGGCCUUUUGGUUGUAAAGCACUUUAAGCGAGGAGGAGGCUACUAGUACUAAUACUACUGGAUAGUGGACGUUACUCGCAGAAUAAGCACCGGCUAACUCUGUGCCAGCCGCCGCUGUAACAC
rnacentral:rRNA from 1 species